AGCUCCAAUAGCGUAUAUUAAAGUUGUUGCAGUUAAAAGCUCGUAGUUGGACUUCUGGCACGCUGCGCCUGGCCCGCCCGCGUUAGCGGUGUGAGUGCCGGUUGCGCGGUUGCCAUCCUUCUAGAAAACAGGCCUGCCCUUCACUGGGUGGGGUCUGCGAUCUAGAUCGUUUACUUUGAAAAAUUAGAGUGUUUAAAGCAGGCAAUUGCUGUGAAUACAUUAGCAUGGAAUAAUGAUAUAGGACUUUGGUUCUAUUUUGUUGGUUUCUAGGACUAAAGUAAUGAUUGAUAGGGAUAGUUGGGGGUGCUAGUAUUGAGCGGCCAGAGGUGAAAUUCUUGGAUUCGCUCAAGACUAACUUAUGCGAAAGCAUUCACCAAGGAUGUCUUCU
rnacentral:rRNA from 1 species